rnacentral:rRNA from 1 species
UGGGGAAUAUUGGGCAAUGGGCGAAAGCCUGACCCAGCAACGCCGCGUGAAGGAAGAAGGUCUUCGGAUUGUAAACUUCUUUUAUGAGGGACGAAGGACGUGACGGUACCUCAUGAAUAAGCCACGGCUAACUACGUGCCAGCAGCCGCGGUAAUACGUAGGUGGCAAGCGUUAUCCGGAUUUACUGGGUGUAAAGGGCGUGUAGGCGGGAAGGCAAGUCAGAUGUGAAAACUAUGGGCUCAACCCAUAGCCUGCAUUUGAAACUGUUUUUCUUGAGUGUUGGAGAGGCAGGCGGAAUUCCGUGUGUAGCGGUGAAAUGCGUAGAUAUACGGAGGAACACCAGUGGCGAAGGCGGCCUGCUGGACAAUAACUGACGCUGAGGCGCGAAAGCGUGGGGAGCAAACAGG